GCAUGUGCAUUGGUUAGAGACUCCCAUAGUCUUCCUGCUAAGUGUGUGUUUCCUGGCAUUUUCUAUUUUUUUCUGUCAGGUUCUGUUUUACUAAACUACUCAGAAAGAGGGGAAGAGAAAAGAUGGGCCGCCAAAGUAAGAAAAUGAUGAGCAUGAUAAUAAUAAAAUACUACUAACGAACAAAAAUUAUCAUCUUACUUUUCUGGUGU